rnacentral:sRNA from 1 species
GGCCCAAACUUAGUAGCCCCAAGUGGGUAAAAGGCAUGGUUAUUCAAAACCGUUCAAAGCAUACGACGCUCGUCGUUAGGUUUUGCUUUGAACGGUCGCACGCAGGAAUGUGUGUGGGGUUCCGGAAACGGGAUC